GCUAGGAGGCGUCGAGCGGCGGACGGGUGAGUAAUGCAUAGGAAUCUACCCGGUAGUGGGGGAUAACCUGGGGAAACCCAGGCUAAUACCGCAUACGUCCUACGGGAGAAAGCAGGGGAUCUUCGGACCUUGCGCUAUCGGAUGAGCCUAUGUCGGAUUAGCUAGUUGGUGAGGUAACGGCUCACCAAGGCUGCGAUCCGUAGCUGGUCUGAGAGGAUGAUCAGCCACAUCGGGACUGAGACACGGCCCGAACUCCUACGGGAGGCAGCAGUGGGGAAUAUUGGACAAUGGGCGAAAGCCUGAUCCAGCCAUGCCGCGUGUGUGAAGAAGGCCUUCGGGUUGUAAAGCACUUUCAGUGAGGAAGAAAGCCUUGAGGCUAAUACCCUYGAGGGAGGACAUCACUCACAGAAGAAGCACCGGCUAACUCCGUGCCAGCAGCCGCGGUAAUACGGAGGGUGCGAGCGUUAAUCGGAAUUACUGGGCGUAAAGCGCGCGUAGGCGGCYUGAUAAGCCGGUUGUGA
rnacentral:rRNA from 1 species